UGAGGAAUAUUGGUCAAUGGGCGCAAGCCUGAACCAGCCAUGCCGCGUGAAGGAAGAAGGUUCUAUGGAUUGUAAACUUCUUUUAUUUAGGAAUAAACCUCCCGACGUGUCGGGAGCUGAAGGUACUAAAUGAAUAAGCACCGGCUAACUCCGUGCCAGCAGCCGCGGUAAUACGGAGGGUGCAAGCGUUAUCCGGAAUCAUUGGGUUUAAAGGGUCCGCAGGCGGACUUAUAAGUCAGUGGUGAAAUCCUGCAGCUCAACUGCAGAACUGCCAUUGAUACUGUAAGUCUUGAAUUUGAUCGGAGUGGGCGGAAUGUGUAGUGUAGCGGUGAAAUGCAUAGAUAUUACACAGAACACCGAUAGCGAAGGCAGCUCACUAGGUUAUAAUUGACGCUCAUGGACGAAAGCGUGGGGAUCAAACAGG
rnacentral:rRNA from 1 species